GAUGAACGCUGGCGGCGUGCCUAAUACAUGCAAGUCGAGCGAACGGACGAGAAGCUUGCUUUUCUGAUGUUAGCGGCGGACGGGGGAGUAACACGUGGAUAACCUACCUAUAAGACUGGGGUAACUUCGGGAAACCGGAGCUUAUACCGGAUAAUAUUUUGAACCGCAUUGUUUAUAUGUGAAAGUCGGUAUUGCUGUCACUUAUAGAUGUAUCCGCGCUGCAUUAGCUAGUUUGUAAGGUAACGGCUUACCAAGGCAACGAUGCAUAGCCGACCUCAGAGGGUGAUCGGACACACUGGAACUGAGACACGGUCCAGACUCCUAAGGGAGGCAGCAGUAGGGAAUCUUACGCAAUGGGCGAAAGCCUGACGGAGCGACGGCACGUGAGUGAUGAAGGUCUUCGGAUCGUAAAACUCUGUUAUUAGGGAAGAACAUAUGUGUAAGUAACUGUGCACAUCUUGACGGUAACUAAUCAGAAAGCCACGGCUAACUACGUG
rnacentral:rRNA from 1 species